GACGAACGCUGGCGGCGUGCUUAACACAUGCAAGUCGAACGGUGAAGCGCUUGCCUUUUUGGUGGGUGUGGAUGAGUGGCGAACGGGUGAGUAACACGUGAGUAACCUGCCCUCUUCUUCUGGAUAACCUCAUGAAAGUGGGGCUAAUACGGGGUAUUCCGGGUCUGUCGCAUGGCGGGUUUGGGAAAGAUUGCGCCUUUGGGUGUUUUCGGUGGGGGAUGGGCUCGCGGCCUAUCAGCUUGUUGGUGGGGUGAUGGCCUACCAAGGCGGUGACGGGUAGCCGGCCUGGGGGGGUGGACGGCCACAAUGGGACUGCGACCCGGCCCAGACUCCUGCGGGAGGCAGCAGUGGGGAAUAUUGCACAAUGGGCGCAAGCCUGAUGCAGCGACGCCGCGUGAGGGAUGGAGGCCUUCGGGUUGUGAACCUCUUUCGCCAGUGAAGCAGGCCUGCUCCUGGGUGGGUGGGUUGACGGUAGCUGGAUAAGAAGCGCCGGCUAACUACGU
rnacentral:rRNA from 1 species